rnacentral:lncRNA from 1 species
GGGGGUGUUGGAAGUCUCACAUCGACUAGAGAUAUGGCCAAUUUAUAAUAUAUAAGUGGGGUGCAGACCUCACCUUACAAGCCCAUUUUGUGGGGUUGAGUUAGGCCUAAAACCCAAUUCUAACAAAAGUUACGUGAAAAUGAGGAGAGAGUUUAGGUGAGUGUUUGGGCAUAAGAAAGGAAGAAAUAAAGAGUUUGCAUGGUUAAAGUUUCACUGCAUGCAACAUAUUGUUGGUGAGAGAAGAGUGAAACUUUGCAUUUAGUUCUUUGAUUAAGAAUGGGACCCAUGGUUAAGGAAAAAUAAAGUAGUUAAAGUGUGAGAAGAGAGGGUUAGAGGUUGUGGAAGAUAGAAAAGACAUUGAAAGAUUAAAUAAAAGGAAGAGGAGAAGGAAAAUGAGGGAGUGUACUGGUACGUAAGGUAAGAGGAGAAUGCAAUAGGUGUAAUGGGUAUUAGUUGAAGAAAAAAUAGAAAGUUAAGGCAAAAAUAAAAUAAAAUAAUAUAAAGAUGGUAGGGUAGAUGUGUGAAAGGUUAGAUAAAUAAUGGAGGGGGAAUAUGAAUUAAGUUUUGGGUUUAGUGAAAAAGAAAAGAAAGAGAAAAUAAUGAGUAAGUGUGUGACGAGAAAAAUAGGUGAAAGUAGUGAAAUGAUGUGUAGCUUUUGGUGGAAUGAAAAGUAAAUGAGGAAGAGAACGGUGAAGAGGUGUGUACGUAAAAAGUAAAAGGAUGAGAAACAAAAAGGAUUGUUUUAUUUUGAUGGAUGUGGGGUCCACUUGGGUGGAUGUAUAAAAAUUAUUUUAUUUAAUGGAGUUAGGUGUUACUUAUUGGAAAGGGGGGGGUGUAGUAUAUAUUUCAUUAUUUCUUAUUUUGGUUGAUUUAGGUAGAUAUAUAGUAUUUUAUGGAUUAGUUGUCUUUAUAGAAAAAUGGUGGUGUGUUUAGUAUGUGGUUGACUAUUUUGGAUGGUAUGGUUGUUGUCAUUAUCUUCAUUAUUGAUUUUAUGAUUGGUUUGUGAAACAUGUUUAUGAAUGUAUUGUAUUAUAUCUUGGAUGAUCUUUAUGGCCUGAAAGUGUAUGAUGAUAAAGUGGAUGAAGUAUAAGUUCAAGGUUGUUU